ACUUGAAUCUAAAGAAAAUGUUUGUGCAAGUUUUAGCUGUUUUGGUUCAGUAAUUCUUGAGAAUACAUUUCAAACACCCCACCCUAUGUUCACUGUAAAAAAGAAAUGUAGGCAUCCUCUCUACCCACAGAUGCCUUGUGUCAAGUUUAGUUGAAAUUGGUCCAGUUUUUCUUGAGAAGAAAAGUUUACGACAGACGGAGACACACAAAAGGAGGAUCAAGAUUGUGCUGGCAUAAAGACUGGGGAGUUUGUUUAACAGGCAGGAUUCUAUCAUAGCUGUUGACAAAUCAUCAAUCAACGAAGAACCUACCAAUCACACAACAAUGACCAACUGUUGAAAACUCGGGAGAAAACAAAGAUAUGGUCGACAUAGUCCUCCACAUCUCCUGAUUAAACCAUUGACUGAAGAGUUUUAAUCUUACAAGCUGAUUAAACCUGUAUUGAUUUUUGGUGCAACGCAGCCCUACAACUUUACAAUCAUCGACAAAUGUUUAUUCAAAGAUAAAUGGACCAAACUUUUUCACUUUUCCACUUGAAGUUAAUCCAAAUUUUCAAACAAAAUUAUAUGGAGGUUCCCACAUUUCCCCGGACUCUCUUCGGUUUUGUCUGCUCUGGUUUGUAAACACGUCACUUGACGCUGAAAACCAGCACUAUUGCUUCUAUGUUUCCUCGGAAUGCCGACAGUCGUGUGGAAGAAAUAUUUGCACUCUGGUGAAAAAUGAAGUCUUAAAUGCACACUAACAGGAAAACACGACCAAAUGCAGCACCUCAGGCUUCACCUAUGGUGUUACCCUAUCUGGGGACUCCAUUAAAGUGUAUUGUACACCUGCCUCUGAUGGACUUUGAAUUUCUUGAAAGAACAAUUACUGCUAAGGAUACUUAUUCUCAGUUUGUUUGUUUUUUUAUUUCAGAAUCAAAACUCCAAUCCGCACCUAAGGUUAUAAUCAUUACAUUAAUACUGAUCAUUAAAGUUAUAAAAAUAACCCCGUGUAAUUCUUCACCAUGUCCUGGCAAUACUGUGCAUUUAAUGACUUUUCAAUAACCAAGAAUCCACAGACAAAGUCUCAAAUUUGUCUGUCUCUGAUUACGCCUGCUCUCUGACCCGGGGAGUUCCCAGAAUUCCACACAUCCCGGUUACACACCGGCUCUCCCGACACAGUUCUGGGUAGCGUGUUCAAGAUUGGUAUUCUAUGGCUUGGACAAGUGGACAUUAAGAGCUACCAAGAAUUCCACGAACCUGAUCUGUCGCCACGAUCUCAUCAAGGGGAGAUUAAAACAUGUCAGCAGAAGUACCCGUGAUCAAAGGCGAGAAAUAGUGUAUUUUGAAUUCAGAUUUUGGCUGUCUUUUUCUCCGUCGUGGGUCCGUUAUCAAUGGAUGUGUCAUUUCUGAUCAAUCUCUUCUAGUCGUCCCCCCUGCUCUGUCCUAUUACCUAAUCUUUUCCCUGGUCUCAUGUACUAUUAUAAUAUUUGUCAUCAAUCUGCCAUUCAUCUCAAGUGUCCUACCACUGGGAAACUGAGAUAACAUAUUCUUAUCAUGAGAUUUACUGCUUUACAAUCUUAAUUAUGUCUAUUGUUUUAAACUUUUAACACACAUAUUAAUGAUGGUUGCCUCAUUCAAAAACUGUAUUUCUUAGUGGAAGAAAGUCUGAGUUAAAACACCCUUCAUAGUGAUCCAUCAAUUUCAUUAAAGCAGAGCAUUACAACAUUCCAUUGAUAGAACUGAUUUUUGCAAUGACUGAUCUAAGACCAUAUGCAACUUACCAAGACAACUAUCAUGGAAAGACAUGGAAGUUUGCACAUACAACAUGUGAUUUUAAAAUGAAUAAUUUGGUCAUUAAGCACUGCACCCCAGACAAGAAAUAAACAAGAGCAAAGCAAGCCAUCAGCACAUAGAAAAUUAAGAAAACAUCUUCAAAGAGAGGAAUUCAUUGAAAUCCAGUUCUUGAAAGUCUGUAGAGAGAGAGAUAGGUCCUAAUGACUGUCAACUGAGGAAACACACCUGGUAGUGCGAGAUCCUGGUCAUGGGAAACCCUGGAGAGGUUCUGAGACAGUAUUAGGUAGUUAAUCAACUGAAGAAAACAUUCAGAGAUUCCAAGACAGCAUCAGGUAGUUAAUUGAUUGUAAAAAAAACUUAAAGAAUUUCUUUUAUCCUAGGUCAGAACUCAAGAACUUGAAAUUACCGAAAAGAAAAUCCAUCCAUC